CCCCGGGCCAUUCUUUUAAAGCCCAGGCAGAGCACGGGUGGGAAGCGUGCGAGGAGAGCUGAGCCAGAGAGUUGGGGGGAGGAGAAGAAUUAGAGGAGACAGCACUGAUUGCAGUGACAGAAGCGGUGCCAGUUAACUCCCCACCAUCAAAAGUAUCUUCUGCUAUAGCCUGGCACAAGUUUCAAGCAUCCAUUGGGGGUCUUGGGAUGCGUCGCCCUGCAGAUAAGGGCAACUGCUGUGCAGCAUGAACAGUAUGGAAAUAAUACUUAUCUUCAUGGAGUUUAUAUUAGAGUAAGACAAGAGGUAGGAGACUGCCUAUUUUAUUGUUCUCUUGAAAAGACUGGGUAUUUUACUUUUAUGAAAGGCUUUAUAGCCUGCAGGGGCAUUCUAAUAUGGAUUUUGGGGGUGAAGAGAGAAACAGGUGUGGGAAGUAAGUUCAGGGGUACAGAGACCC